rnacentral:rRNA from 1 species
UACGUAGGGUGCAAGCGUUAAUCGGAAUUACUGGGCGUAAAGCGUGCGCAGGCGGUUCGCUAAGACAGAUGUGAAAUCCCCGGGCUUAACCUGGGAACUGCAUCUUAAACUGAUAGGCUGGAGUACUGUAGAGGAUAGUGGAAUUUCCGGUGUAGCGGUGAAAUGCGUAGAGAUCGGAAGGAACAUCAGUGGCGAAGGCGACUGUCUGGACAGAUACUGACGCUGAGGCGCGAAAGCGUGGGGAGCAAACAGG